rnacentral:rRNA from 1 species
UACGAAGGGGGCUAGCGUUGCUCGGAAUCACUGGGCGUAAAGGGUGCGUAGGCGGGUCUUUAAGUCAGGGGUGAAAUCCUGGAGCUCAACUCCAGAACUGCCUUUGAUACUGGCGAUCUUGAGUCCGGGAGAGGUGAGUGGAACUGCGAGUGUAGAGGUGAAAUUCGUAGAUAUUCGCAAGAACACCAGUGGCGAAGGCGGCUCACUGGCCCGGUACUGACGCUGAGGUGCGAAAGCGUGGGGAGCAAACGGG